rnacentral:rRNA from 1 species
GACGAACGCUGGCGGCGUGCUUAACACAUGCAAGUGGAGCGACGAACCAGGGCUUGCCCUGGGGCAGAGCCGCGAACGGGUGAGUAACACGUGGGGAACCUACCCCGAAGACUGGGACAACCCGGGGAAACUCGGGCUAAUACCAGAUGUGGUCCCACUACAUAAGUGGUGUGACUAAAGGAAGCUUCGGCCUCCGCUUUGGGAGGGUCCCGCGGCGCAUUAGCUUGUUGGUGAGGUAACGGCUCACCAAGGCUUCGAUGCGUAGCUGGUCUGAGAGGACGAUCAGCCACACUGGGACUGAGACACGGCCCAGACUCCUACGGGAGGCAGCAGUGGGGAAUCUUGCGCAAUGGGCGACAGCCUGACGCAGCAACGCCGCGUGGGGGAAGAAGGCCUUCGGGUUGUAAACCUCUUUCAGGAGGGGCGAAGCUUUGCCGGUGAAUAGCCGUGUGAAGUGACGGUACCUCCACAAGCAGCCCCGGCUAACUACGUGCCAGCAGCCGCAGUAAGAC